ensembl:misc_RNA Metazoa_SRP Metazoan signal recognition particle RNA
GCUGGGUGUGGUGUGCACACCUGUCAUCCUUCCUACUCAGGAGGCUGAGGCUGGAGGACUACUUGAGCCCAGGAGUUUGAGGCUACAGUGUGCUAUGAUAGCGCCUGUGAAUAGCCACUGUACUCCAUCCUGGGCAACAUGGCAAGAUUCCCUCUCUA